rnacentral:precursor_RNA from 13 species
CGGAUUCCAGCCGAUCUACUGCACGGUGUGAAGUGGUCACUUGAGUUGCAGUGGGGUAGUGGAACAUGCUGCAUCCCAUGUGACUGCUCUACACAGUGCCGUGUCUCUCCGUCAGGAGAUU